rnacentral:misc_RNA from 1 species
AACCUUAUGGACCUGCGGGCGUAUACCUGCGGAAGGAUCAUUACUGUGAUUUACUACUACACUGCGUGAGCGGAACGAAAACAACAACACCUAAAAUGUGGAAUAUAGCAUAUAGUCGACAAGAGAAAUCUACGAAAAAACAAACAAAACUUUCAACAACGGAUCU